rnacentral:rRNA from 1 species
GAUGAACGCUGGCGGCGUGCCUAACACAUGCAAGUCGAACGAAGCGAUCAGGAGGAAGUUUUCGGAUGGAAUCCGGAUUGACUGAGUGGCGGACGGGUGAGUAACGCGUGGGUAACCUGCCCCAUACAGGGGGAUAACAGUUAGAAAUGACUGCUAAUACCGCAUAAGCGCACAGGGAUGCAUGUCCCGGUGUGAAAAACUCCGGUGGUAUGGGAUGGACCCGCGUCUGAUUAGCUGGUUGGCGGGGUAACGGCCCACCAAGGCGACGAUCAGUAGCCGACCUGAGAGGGUGACCGGCCACAUUGGGACUGAGACACGGCCCAA